AUUUAAUUAAACAAAAAUGCUCUUUUAAAUUAAUCAAAUUUUAGAAUUCAAUUAAUCCUAAUUUUAUAGUUUCAAUUAAUUUAAACAACAAAACAAAAACAUAUAAAAAACAAAAAUUAAUCGUUUUUCAUCUUCUCCAAUUCUCCCAAUCAUUCGUGCCCCACUCUGAAGAAAAGCAAAACAUAUCAAAAAACAAAAAAUUAAUUGUUCUUUAUCUUCUCUAAUUUCUUCAUUUGUGCCCCCUCUGAAGCAAAGCAGUGAAAGUCCCAAACCAAAACGGCAAAACCCUGUCCUUAGGUUCUUUGCCGCCGGCGUCCCCAGGCUUAGCGCUUGCGCUUCUUCCUCUUCCCUCUGUCCGGAACCCAGGUAGCUCGGCAUGUCGUCUCCAUCCUCGUUGGCUUCUCUGUCCAUGGCCAGGGGAAAAGGCAGAAUUGAAGUCUAAUCGCAAGUUAGAUAAAAAGGUUCUAUUUUAUUCUAAGGUGAAAGAUGUUGUGGCUUGCUUGAGUGUUCAAAAGUCUAUUACUAAGGUAAUAAUCUUAUUUCAAAGGGCAUUGUUCUUAAGAUGGAUUAUGAAAAUACUUCAUUGUGCUUGUAAUAGGUUUAAUGGC